rnacentral:rRNA from 1 species
GACGAACGCUGGCGGCGUGCUUAACACAUGCAAGUCGAACGGAAAGGCCCUGCUUUUGUGGGGUGCUCGAGUGGCGAACGGGUGAGUAACACGUGAGUAACCUGCCCUUGACUUUGGGAUAACUUCAGGAAACUGGGGCUAAUACCGGAUAGGAGCUCCUGCUGCAUGGUGGGGGUUGGAAAGUUUCGGCGGUUGGGGAUGGACUCGCGGGUUAUCAGCUUGUUGGUGGGGUAGUGGCUUACCAAGGCUUUGACGGGUAGCCGGCCUGAGAGGGUGACCGGCCACAUUGGUACUGAGAUACGGCCCAGACUCCUACAGGAGACAGCAGUGGGGAAUAUUGCACAAUGGGCGGAAGCCUGAUGCAGCAACGCCGCGUUCGUGAUGACGUCCUUCGGGUUGUAAACCGCUUUCGCCUGUUACGAAGCGUUAGUGACGGUAAUGAGUAAAUAAGCACCGGCUAACUACGUG